rnacentral:rRNA from 1 species
UACAGAGGUCCCGAGCGUUGUUCGGAUUCACUGGGCGUAAAGGGUGCGUAGGUGGCAUGGUAAGUUUGAUGUGAAAGCUCAGGGCUCAACCCUGAAAUGGCAUUGAAUACUACUGUGCUGGAGGUUUGGAGGGGGGACUGGAAUUCUCGGUGUAGCGGUGAAAUGCGUAGAGAUCGGGAGGAACACCAGAGGCGAAGGCGGCGACCUGGACAGGUACUGACACUCAACUACGAAAGCGUGGGGAGCAAACAGG